GUUAUACCCGUUCCCAUCCCGAACACGGAAGUCAAGCCCUCCUACGCCGAUGGUACUGCUGUAAAGCGGGAGAGUAGGUAGCUGCCGGAC
rnacentral:rRNA from 1 species